rnacentral:rRNA from 1 species
AACGCGAAGAACCUUACCUGGGCUCGAAAUGUAGUGGACUGGGGUAGAAAUAUCCCUUCCUAGCAAUAGGUCGCUAUAUAGGUGCUGCAUGGCUGUCGUCAGCUCGUGUCGUGAGAUGUUGGGUUAAGUCCCGCAACGAGCGCAACCCUUAUCUCCAGUUGCCAUCAUUCAGUUGGGCACUCUGGCGAAACCGCCUCGGAUAACGGGGAGGAAGGUGGGGAUGACGUCAAGUCCUCAUGGCCUUUAUGUCCAGGGCUACACACGUGCUACAAUGGCCGGUAUAAACCGCUGCAAACCCGCGAGGGGGAGCUAAUCGGAAAAAGCCGGCCUCAGUUCGGAUCGCAGUCUGCAACUCGACUGCGUGAAGCUGGAAUCGCUAGUAAUCGCAGAUCAGAAUGCUGCGGUGAAUACGUUCCCGGGCCUUGUA